UGGGCUUCCGCAACAUUCUUACCUUCGACGAUAAGGACAUUUCGACUGAGUACUCCGCGUUGAUGAGCAAAGUGAUGAGUAACGGAAACGGGUUCGUGAAAUUUCCGAUCAACGAGCCCGCUGAAGGCAAAAAGAAAUCGCAGGUGGAAGAAUACCUCGAUUUUUACGACGGCGAAGGCGUGCAGCACAUCGCAAUGGGCACGAACAACAUCAUCGAGACGAUAACCGAUCUUCAGCAGCGUGGGCUUGAGUUUCUAAAGGUGCCUUCGACGUACUACGACACGCUGCUCGAUCGCGUGGG
rnacentral:misc_RNA from 1 species